rnacentral:rRNA from 1 species
UACGUAGGUGGCAAGCGUUGUUCGGAAUCACUGGGCUUAAAGGGCGCGUAGGCGGGCUGCCAAGUCAGGGGUGAAAGCCCACGGCUCAACCGUGGAAGUGCCUUUGAUACUGGCGGCCUUGAGGGAGGUAGGGGCGUGCGGAACUUCCGGUGGAGCGGUGAAAUGCGUAGAUAUCGGAAGGAACACCGGUGGCGAAAGCGGCGCGCUGGACCUCUUCUGACGCUGAGGCGCGAAAGCCAGGGGAGCAAACAGG